rnacentral:rRNA from 1 species
UACGUAGGGUGCGAGCGUUAAUCGGAAUUACUGGGCGUAAAGUGUGCGCAGGCGGUCUCGCAAGUCAAGUGUGAAAGCCCCGGGCUUAACCUGGGAACUGCGCUUGAAACUACGAGACUCGAGUGUGGCAGAGGAAGGUGGAAUUCCACGUGUAGCGGUGAAAUGCGUAGAGAUGUGGAGGAACACCGAUGGCGAAGGCAGCCUUCUGGCCAACACUGACGCUCAUGCACGAAAGCGUGGGGAGCAAACAGG